rnacentral:RNase_P_RNA from 1 species
ACAGGUCGCUGGACGGCCGCGGCCCGGCACCGGCGAAAGCCGCCGGGCUGAGGAACGUCCGGGCACCUCAGAGCAGGGUGGUGGCUAACGGCCACCCGGGGCGACCCGCGGGACAGUGCAACAGAAAGCAGACCGCCCGCAGCCGGAGAGAUCCGGUCGCGGGUAAGGGUGAAACGGCGGUGUAAGAGACCACCAGGGCCGCAGGUGACUGCGGCUGCUCUGCAAACCCCACCCGGUGCAAGAUCGGACAGACGGCGUUCGAGGGCUGCUCGCCCGAGCCGUCGGGUGGAUCGCUCGAGGCCGCUGGUGACAGCGGUCCCAGACAGAUGGUCGUCGCGUGCGUCCGGGUGACCGGGCGCACGAACAGAACCCGGCGUACAGGCGGCCUGUCCUC